rnacentral:rRNA from 1 species
UGGGGAAUAUUGCACAAUGGGCGCAAGCCUGAUGCAGCCAUGCCGCGUGUGUGAAGAAGGCCUUCGGGUUGUAAAGCACUUUCAGCGAGGAGGAAGGGCAGUGUGUUAAUAGCACAUUGCAUUGACGUUACUCGCAGAAGAAGCACCGGCUAACUCCGUGCCAGCAGCCGCGGUAAUACGGAGGGUGAAAGCGUUAAUCGGAAUUACUGGGCGUAAAGCGCACGCAGGCGGUUUGUUAAGUCAGAUGUGAAAUCCCCGCGCUUAACGUGGGAACUGCAUUUGAAACUGGCAAGCUAGAGUCUUGUAGAGGGGGGUAGAAUUCCAGGUGUAGCGGUGAAAUGCGUAGAGAUCUGGAGGAAUACCGGUGGCGAAGGCGGCCCCCUGGACAAAGACUGACGCUCAGGUGCGAAAGCGUGGGGAGCAAACA